rnacentral:rRNA from 1 species
GACGAACGCUGGCGGCGUGCCUAAUACAUGCAAGUCGAGCGGACGGAUGGGAGCUUGCUCCCAGACCGUCAGCGGCGGUCGGGUGAGUAACACGUGGGCAACCUGCCUGUAAGACUGGGAUAACUCCGGGAAACCGGGGCCAAUACCGGAUAACUCUUUCCCUCACAUGAGGGAAAGCUGAAAGAUGGCAUCUCGCUAUCACUUACAGAUGGGCCCGCGGCGCAUUAGCUAGUUGGUGAGGUAACGGCUUACCAAGGCGACGAUGCGUAGCCGACCUGAGAGGAUGAUCAGCCACACUGGGACUGAGACACGGCCCAGACUCCUACGGGAGGCAGCAGUGGGGAAUCUUGCGCAAUGGGCGAAAGUCUGACGGAGCAACGCCGCGUGAGUGAUGAAGGUUUUCGGGUCGUAAAACUCUGUUGUCAGGGAAGAAAAGGUACCGGAGUAACUGCCGGUAACUUGACGGUACCGGACGAGAAAGCCACGGCUAACUACGUG